CCUACGGGUGGCAGCAGUAGGGAAUAUUGCUCAAUGGGGGAAACCCUGAUGCAGCCACGCCGCGUGGAGGAUGAAGGCCUUAGGGUUGUAAACUCCUUUUGUUCGAGAGGAAUGUGAUGGUGUUUAUCGACUAAGCACUGGCUAAUACCGUGCCAGCAGCCGCGGUAAUACGGAGGGUGCGCGCGUUCGUCGGAAUGGAUGGUGGAAAAGGGUGCGGAGGUGGGGUAAUAUAUCAGAUGUGAAAUCCCGGGGCUUAACCACAGAAUUGCAUUUGAAACUGGUACUCUGGAGUGUGGGAGAGGUAGGUAGAAUUCGUGGUGUAGCGGUGAAAUGCGUAGAGAUGUAGAGGAAUACUGAUGGCGAAGGCGGCCUCCUGGAACAAGACUGACGCUGAGGCGCGAAAGCGUGGGGAGCAAACAGGAUUAGAUACCCUAGUAGUC
rnacentral:rRNA from 1 species